AUUGAACGCUGGCGGCAGGCCUAACACAUGCAAGUCGAGCGGAGCGGCGGACGGGUGAGUAAUGCCUAGGAAUCUGCCUGGUAGUGGUGGAUAACGUCCGGCAACGGGCGCUAAUACCGCAUACUAUCAGAUGAGCCUAGGUCGGAUUCGCUCGUUGGUGGGGUAAAGGCCUACCAGGGCGACGAUCCGUAACUGGUAUGAGAGGAUGAUCAGUCAAACGUGAACGGAGACACGGUCCAGACUCCUACGGGAGGCAGCAGUGGGGAAGAGUGGACAAUGGGCGAAAGCCUGAUCCAGACAUGCCGCGUGUGUGAAGAAGGGCUUCGGAUGGGAAAGCACUUUAAGGUGGGAGGCGGUACCAACAGAAGAAGCACCGGCUAACUGCGUGCCAGCAGCCGCGGUAAUAC
rnacentral:rRNA from 1 species